UACUGCACUGACCACUCCAGUAGUGUAGACUAAUUAAAUUUUGGGCAGGGCUCAGUGACAUUCCAAACUGAAGUGAAAUAUCAACCAAACUAGAGGAGCUGAAAAGAGCCUUGAGAGAGAACUUAAUAUUAGUGAUUUUCAACUGGUAUGGGAAAAAGCUGGUGUUCUUUCAGGACGCUGGGACUCUAUUGGUAUUCUGUUAGGAAUCAGCUACAAGUUAUAUGAGAUUGAAGCAGGGGGCAAACCACCAAGAACUUGUCUACGGAAAGUAUUUGAUUGCUGGUUAAAGAAGGACCAUGACUAUAAGAGUCAUGGUGUCCCUACAUUAAGAAUGCUGUGUAACUCCAUUAAAAGUAAUAGUGGAGGAGCUGAUCCAGCUCUAGCUGAUGAAAUAGCAAAAGAAUUUAAUCUUACUAGUAGUGGAGAAGCUACUACAUCACCAGUUGAUACUUCAUCUUCUAAAGAAGCUACUCCAACUGUUGAGCUACCAGUUCCUACUUCACCUCAAUUUGAGUCUUCAGUUGUUUACAUUAAGAAGAAAUCAAUUGAAUAUUCAUCAAAUAACCUGACAUGAAUAAUUGGAGACCUAAAAGAAGUUUACCUUGAUAAUACAUGUAUCAUAUAGAGAAGUCCUUCCGCUCUCUUGACGUCUCAGAAGUUAUCAAUUUCAUUAAACAUUACAUUGCACUUUUACUCACUUUUGCCAGAGACGACUACACAUUAAAUGAUUUAUAUUUCUUUCACAAGCUAAUCGCUGAUGCACUUGAAGUUCCUCAAUAUAAUUUAUAUUUUUGUACGAUUGAUGAUGACUGCAUGGAAUUAAAAUAUUCCAUUCCUGAUUUUCUUUAUUUUGAUCUCUUUCCAGCAACCAAUCAACAGUGUCAUUCAUUGGCUGAGAUUGAAAUCAUAAAAAUUACUUGUCAUGAAUAUGUACAUAAAAAGAAGCAGUUGCCAGAAAAUGAAUUAAAGAAGCU
rnacentral:lncRNA from 1 species